ensembl:snRNA U6 U6 spliceosomal RNA
GUGCUCACUUUGGCAGGGCAUAUAUUAAAGUUGGAAUAAUACAGAGAAGAUUGGUAUGACCCUGUGCAAGGAUGACAUGCAGACUCAUAAAGUAUGCCUUAUUUAG